CUUUAAACAUGUGGCGGGCGUUUCGUGAAAGCAGGCAACAGUUUCUGAUGUUUGCCAAGAGAACAAAUCACCUGACUCAAAUCAAGGUCUGAAUCUUGCACUGUUAAAGGCCUGAACACUAUCAAGCUGACGGUUGGAUGACACAGUCUUCUCACUAGGAGCUACCCACCUUUAAUGACAGCUCUGUAGUAGAAAAAGGUUCUCAGCAGUUUGUAUGACAGAUAGAAAAUGGAGAGGCAACAAUAAAGUCUAUGUACUGUCACUUAUAUGGAAAAAGAAUUCAUUUUGAGGCAUUUAGAUUAGAUUUCACUUGGUAUAAGGUGAGUCAUGAUUUCUCUGUGUUUGGUUGGAGUGGUUGUUAAUAUAUAUUUAUCACUUUUGCCAUCUUUACUAGGAAUAAUAAAACACAAUGAAGGCAAAAAUGAAAUGAACAGGGAAGUGGUUAUUUCAAUGUUCUUCAGCUAUUCCAAGAAUCUAUUGUUACUUGUAUGUGAGGAAAUAACCUAGCCAUGCCUGGGGUUCCAUUGUUGAUGGAUGUUCAUACAUGGGAGGAGGGACCAGUUUCUUUCCACUUUAUAUAUCAGUACUUCCUUAACCAUUAGGCUUUUUGCUCUUUAGUACUUACAGUAAGAAUUUGUUAUUGAGGAAAUUGAAGAGGCACAGUGGUCUAAUGGUUAGUGCAUUGGACUGCGCAUCAAGCAGUCUUUGGUUUGUUCUUGGGCAAGACACUUAACUCUCACAGUGCCUCUCACCACCCAGGUGUACAAUUGGUACCUGUACUUAGAGAAUUCAAUGCUGCCAAGGGCUUACUGUACCCUGCAACAGACUAGCAUCCCAACUAGAGGUUGGAGGGAGAGAAAUACUUUUAUCACUUGUAAUUAUGCUUCCAAAACCUGCACAGGCUGAAGUGUUUUGGAUCACUUGGUCUGACAUAGAUUCUACCUUACCUUCAUUGU
rnacentral:lncRNA from 1 species